rnacentral:lncRNA from 1 species
UUGAAUAUUAAUUAUUGUACUAACAAUUGAAACUUUUUUUAAAAUCUUUUCGUAACUUUUGUAUCAUUUCAAAAGAAACAUUUUUUGGAACUUGUAUUUGUCGUUCUUCUUCCAUUGCUUCCAUGUCAUCAUCACUAUUAUCACCAAAUAUUUCAUCUAUUUCGUCUUCUAUUUGGCUAUUUAAUUGUGGUAGUCCGGUAUUUCUUCUUUCGGCAUUGACCCAAUCUCGAAACAACACCGAUAUUUCCAAACUAUCCUUUGCUAAUGAAUAUCGAUGAUCUCCAAUCAUAAAUCUCGCCG